UACGUAGGUGACAAGCGUUGUCCGGAUUUACUGGGCGUAAAGAGCGCGCAGGCGGUCGUUCAAGUCGAGUGUGAAAGCCCCCGGCUCAACUGGGGAGGGUCACGCGAUACUGAUCGACUCGAAGGCAGGAGAGGGUAGUGGAAUUCCCGGUGUAGUGGUGAAAUGCGUAGAUAUCGGGAGGAACACCAGUGGCGAAGGCGACUACCUGGCCUGUUCUUGACGCUGAGGCGCGAAAGCUAGGGGAGCAAACGGGG
rnacentral:rRNA from 1 species